UAGAAAAACAGGACUUGAACCUGCCCUGCGGGAAUCAAAGCCCCUCGUGCUUCAGUACACUAUUCUCUA
rnacentral:tRNA from 1 species